rnacentral:rRNA from 1 species
UACGUAGGGGGCAAGCGUUGUCCGGAAUCAUUGGGCGUAAAGAGCUCGUAGGCGGUCUGUCGCGUCGGUCGUGAAAACUUGGGGCUUAACCCUGAGCUUGCGGUCGAUACGGGCAUGACUGGAGUUCGGCAGGGGAGACUGGAAUUCCUGGUGUAGCGGUGAAAUGCGCAGAUAUCAGGAGGAACACCGGUGGCGAAGGCGGGUCUCUGGGCCGAUACUGACGCUGAGGAGCGAAAGCGUGGGGAGCGAACAGG